UCUUUUUCUUUUCUUCUCCCGUCGCCGAACCCGUGCCCUAACCCAUCUACUUCCCCCGCAUGUCUCUCCUCCCGAUUCUUCUCCCCUCUUCUCACCUUCUCUUUCUCUUCCGUCCCUACCCAAGCGCCGGUGACGCUCGAGCCACCGCCGGCCAAGCCCCUCUCCCAAUCCCUCAUCUCUUCUCCUUGAUUUCCAGCAGCCGAUCUCCCUUCCUCCUCUCCUCUCCUCCCCGAUGUAUCCCUCUUCCAUCUCUACCUCUUCAUCGCCGGUGACCACAGACCGUAAGGCGUAAGCUGCCGUGCGACCUUCUCGCUGUGGAUCCCAAUCGUUGUCACUAGGGUUGAUCCACCGAUCUCCCCUUCACCGACAUUGUGCCCUAGUUCCGAAUCACCGUCGAGCCCUAGCUUCUGUACCCGACACCGGUAGAGGACUUGCUGCACUGACCUUCGCUAGAGCAAGCCGAGACCAGCGCUACGACAUCCACGAUCUGCCACCGUCAACCCAUGCUGCCCUGCCGUGGCCACCAUUCGGGGUCCUUAUGCCGUCGUCGUCCCUCUGAUUCGGUUCACUUCCUCAGUAGCCACCCACUUUGACCUAGCAUCGCUGAUUUCCCCUUCCUUUACCCUCUGCCUUUGCUGAAGAGGAUCAUAUUCCGGCAGGAACUCACUGUGUUGGCGUCUCUUUACCUAGUGCCACCACCAGAUAUCAAAUUUAUUGCUGCCGUCACCGAAGAAGAGAUCAACCGCUCUGCUGUGGAUCCGAGCAUCACCAUUUGAGGGUGACUCACAACUCUGGCCACAAUUUCCAGCAGCAAGAUCCCUAGCAGUGAAUUGAUAGAAUGAUACUCAAAUUCGGGACUCUGAUUUGCGAUGGGUUGCCUUCCGUGGGAUUACUUUUGGCAUGCGCUAUAUUGGAGGCGGGUACCCUGACUUAUCUCUUUUAAUAUGUCAUGUUGAUAUACUUAGUAGAUUUUUAAUAAGUAGUAAUAAUUAUGUUUAUAUCUGCAUCGGUAUGUCACUAUUUAUUUCUGAACUUGUUUUGUUUAUUACUUGUUUAGCAUUCAUGCCCCUGUUUAUUCUUUAUGUUAUAGAGGUAGUGGCAUGCCAUGCCUUAUGAAAUACUGGACUGGUUAGAUACCAUACCUGACCUGUGUACCUAGAUCAUAUUAUUUGAUCCACGUAUUUUGGUACAUGUUUUAUGGAGGUAGAUAUGGUCAGAAUCUUCAUGCUUAGUGUCAUGUAUCAUCUCGCAUGUUGCAU